rnacentral:rRNA from 1 species
GACGAACGCUGGCGGCGUGCCUAAUACAUGCAAGUAGAACGCUGAAGAGAGGAGCUUGCUCUUCUUGGAUGAGUUGCGAACGGGUGAGUAACGCGUAGGUAACCUGCCUUGUAGCGGGGGAUAACUAUUGGAAACGAUAGCUAAUACCGCAUAACAAUGGAUGACACAUGUCAUUUAUUUGAAAGGGGCAAUUGCUCCACUACAAGAUGGACCUGCGUUGUAUUAGCUAGUAGGUGAGGUAAUGGCUCACCUAGGCGACGAUACAUAGCCGACCUGAGAGGGUGAUCGGCCACACUGGGACUGAGACACGGCCCGGACUCCUACGGGAGGCAGCAGUAGGGAAUCUUCGGCAAUGGGGGCAACCCUGACCGAGCAACGCCGCGUGAGUGAAGAAGGUUUUCGGAUCGUAAAGCUCUGUUGUAAGUCAAGAACGGGUGUGAGAGUGGAAAGUUCACACUGUGACGGUAGCUUACCAGAAAGGGACGGCUAACUACGUG